UUCAGAUGGAUGCAGUAUCCCUGCAGUGGUUGCAGUGCACCCUGCUGUGUCCCUGAAUGUGGAUGCUGUGAACAUGCAGUGGAUGCAGUGUCCCUGCAGUGCUUGCAGUGCCUCCCGCAUUGUCCGGGUAAUAUGGAUGCAGUAGUCAUGCAGUGGUUGCAACGUCCCACAAGGUGGAUGCAGUAUGUUGUGAUGGAGGAUGCAGGGCCCAUAAAGGUGGAUGCAGUGAUGAUGCUGUGGGUGCAGUGCCGCCUACAGUUCCCUCAAUGUGGAUACAGUACCCAUGCAGUUGUUGCUGUGUCCCACAAAGUGGAUGUCGUAUGUAGUGAUGGAAGAUGCAGUGCCCACGUAGGUGGAUGCAGUGAGCCUGAAGUGGUUGCAGUGCCCCCUGAAGUUUACCUGAAAGUGGAUGCAGUGGUCAUGCAAUGGAUGCAGUGUCCCUAAAGGUGGAUGCCUUAUGUUGUGAUGCAGGAUUUAGUGAUCAUGAAGGAGGAUGUAUUGAUCCUGCAGUCAUUUCAGUGCACCAGCAGUGCUACUUCAGCUGGCUGCAGUGUCCCUGCAGUUGGUGCAGUGCCCCGUCCUGUGUCUCUGAGUGUGGAUGCACUUCUCAUGCUGUGGAUGCAGAAUACCAAAAGUUGGCUGCCAUAUGUUGAGACAGAGGAUGCAGAGCCCUGGAGUUGGAUGCAGU
rnacentral:lncRNA from 1 species